CAAUAGCGUAUAUUAAAGUUGUUGCGGUAAAAAAGCUCGUAGUUGGAUUUCUACCGAAGAUAGCCGGUCGGGUCUUCGACCUUGUAUCUGGUUUUGUCUUUGGUAUCCUCAUAGGGAACGUUUCUGCGCUUUAUUGCGUGGUGCGGUAUCUAUGACUUUUACUUUGAGGAAAUUAGAGUGUUCACGGCAGGCAAACGCCUUGAAUAUAUUAGCAUGGAAUAAUAACAUAGGAUCUUCGUCCUAUUUUGUUGGUUUCUAGGGCUAAGAUAAUGAUUAAUAGGGAUAAUUGGGGGCAUCUGUAUCAACGCGUCAGAGGUGGAAUUCUUGGAUUACGUUGCGACAAACUACUGCGAAAGCAUUUGCCAAGGAUGUUUUCAUUGA
rnacentral:rRNA from 1 species